AGCCUUUAGCCAACCAAGUAUUAAAGGUAGUGCCUGCCCAGUGACUAUUUAAACGGCCGCGGUAUCCUAACCGUGCAAAGGUAGCAUAAUCAUUUGCCCCUUAAUUAGGGGCUAGCAUGAACGGCUAAAUGAGGACAUAACUGUCUCAUAAGGCAAGUCAAUGAACCUGAUCCUCCAGUCCAAAAGCUGGAAUAAAACCAUAAGACGAGAAGACCCUGUGGAGCUUCAAAUUCAAAUGCUACUACCAUUAAACUAUGCCACUUAUGGCUCAAAAACGUAAACUAGCAUCCAUUUUUAGUUGGGGCGACUACGGAGCAAAAUAAAACCUCCACGACAAGGACCACUUCCUACAAAGGCCAACAAGCCAAGAUAUUAUGACCCAGUAAUACUGAUCAACGAACCAAGUUACCCCAGGGAUAACAGCGCCAUCCUCUUCAAGAGCCCCUAUCGCCAAGAGGGUUUACGACCUCGAUGUUGGAUCAGGACACCCCAGUGGCGCAGCCGCUACUAAAGGUUCGUUUGUUCAACGACUAAUGUCCU
rnacentral:rRNA from 1 species